UCAAGCAACUGUUUGUUUUCAAGAGGAGUGCUUUACAUUGCAUGCGAAAAAAAUAAUGAUACAAGUUAUUGUUUUUACCGAAAAUAGGAAAAAGAUGAUGAUCGACUUGUGCAGCAGUAAGAAGGAAAUGAAGAAGAUUACAGUCCUGAAGCUGAAAAAGAAAAUAUCUGUGAAGCUUCCAGGUGACCAAGAGGAGAUGCUUGGGCAUAUGCAGUUGAUCUUCGCAGACAAAAGACUGGAUAAGGACCAUAAUCCGCUGUCUGCAUACGGAGUCAUGGACCAGUCUGUCAUCCAUAUGGUGAUCUUUCUAGAUGGAGGAGGAAUGACCCCACUCCGCACCUAAAACAUCUCCACCAUCACCAGCUCGUCCUAAUUCUCCAGCGCCAGUGUGCGCUAAUGCUUGAUUAAUGUCAAAUGUUGCGUCAAAUAUUUUAAAUAAAACUAUAUAUUCUA